UUGGAGGGCAAGUCUGGUGCCAGCAGCCGCGGUAAUUCCAGCUCCAAUAGCGUAUAUUAAAGUUGUUGCAGUUAAAAAGCUCGUAGUUGAAUUUCGGGAUCAAUACGUCGGUCGUGCUUUUUUGGUACGCACUGGCGUUAUUGGUUUCUCCUUUCUGACGAAGCAUGAUGUCAUUAAUUUGGUGUCGUGGGGAAUCAGGACUGUUACUUUGAAAAAAUUAGAGUGUUUAAAGCAGGCAUUAGCUUGAAUACAUUAGCAUGGAAUAAUGAAAUAGGACGUUCGAUCCUAUUUUGUUGGUUUCUAGGAUCAACGUAAUGAUUAAUAGGGAUAGUUGGGGGCAUUAGUAUUCAAUUGUCAGAGGUGAAAUUCUUGGAUUUAUUGAAGACUAACUACUGCGAAAGCAUUUGCCAAGGAUGUUUUCAUUAAUCAAGAACGAAAGUUAGGGGAUCGAAGACGAUCAGAUACCGUCGUAGUCUUAACCAUAAACUAUGCCGACUAGGGAUCGGAUGAUGUUAAUUUUUUAAUGACUCAUUCGGCGCCUUACGGGAAAC
rnacentral:rRNA from 1 species